AGGUCAGGAUGGGAAGAUGUGCCUGGGCUUCCACAGUGCCUCUGUGAAAGAAAAACUGAGACAAAAAAGAAAAACUGAGACGUUUCCUCCAAGACGUUCCUGCUCUCAGAAGGGGAAGGAGAGGGUGUAAGGAGAACAGCAGGCACUGCGUGUCUACCAUUCUAGACUGUAGACAACAUUAUGGAGUAGUGUGGCCCAGAACCACCUGGGCUGCCCUGAGUUUACUAAACCUCUCUGAGCCUCACUUCCCUCACUUAUAAAGAGGUAGUGAGAUGAUUCAGUGGUGCCAUGGAUGGAAAUCUCAGUAUGGUGCUUGAAAGUGAAAGUGUUAGUUGCUGAGUUGUGUCCAACUCUUGUGACCCCAUGGACUGUAACCCCAGGAUCUUCUGUCCAUGGAAUUCUCUAGAACUUGGACAGACAGUUGAUGUGAAAUUCAUUUUGUGGCCAGCUUUCCAGUAGACUAUGAGCUCCUCAAGGCACAGUCCCUUCCAGGGUCCUGAGAAGAGCUCCAGCAAUUUCUUAUUAUUCAUUUUAUAUUUUUAAAAGAGUAUCCUCUACAUGGAAUGACCUCAAGCCCCACAAAACCUGGACCAGCCUCUGGCCCCAAGAUCCGGAGUUUUAAUAAGCUGGUCAGGUGAUUCCCAUAUGCCAAGAGGAUCAGGGAUCACUUGUUACUCAAAGUGCAAUUCACAGACCAGAAUUAUUAGCAUCAUGGAUGAGCAUGUUCAAAAUGCAAGGUCUCAGCCCUCCUGUCAGACCCACUGGAUCUGAGUCUCUAUUUUCACUGGAACUGUGGGCUGACUCACAUGAAAAAUAUCACAUUCAAAAUAAAGUUUGUGAAGUGCUGUGUUAGUA
ensembl:lncRNA